ACGAUCCGGUGGUAGAUCUGGGAUAUGGUCCAAGUCCAGACUCUUCCCUGUCACCCUUGACUGUUAGAUGAGAUAGUGGAUCUGAGGGCCUUUGAACCAUGGAGUUAGUAGGACUUGCUGACUGGUCAUGGUUUAAGGAGACGAGAAAGGUCUGGAGCGCCUCUCAGCCAUCCAGUUUGGCAAUGGGAGUGAAGUGAACAGAAGGGUCCUCUGGCUGGAGAGCAGAGUUCCUGCCUAGAGCAGCAGCCAAGCUGCAGCCCAUCCACCCACUAACCCAUGUUUCACAGGCUGCCCGGUGCCCUGGAGAAACUGGCCCCAAGGUCUGACCCUGCCCUGCAGGAGCUAUGGGUCUGACUGGGAGAUGGCCUUGAUCACAACUUUCUAAUUCUGCAUGUUAUGAGUGACUCCAUUGCCCUAGACCCAGAAUUCCCUGGCCACCUCCCUGCAGGGCUGUGAAGCCCAUGACAGGCCUCACCUUUUCUCUGCUGGAGCACCUGCUGUCACAGAGGCGACAGCUCCUGCUGGGCUUGCCUGUGUAUUUUUUAUAAGUUCUUCUCAAGUGUCACUUGUCUUGCCAGGUAGAUCUGCAGCUCCCUGAGGGCAGGGACCAUGAGGUGAGUGACCUCCAUGGAGGGUCUGAUGAGUCUUUUCAAACAGGUAGUCACUUAAACAAAAAAGAGAGGAACUUGGAUGGUGAUGGCUCUGCUGAGUGAAACGGCCUCAUCCUUGAACCUGAAGAGUCCUGCCCUGUUCAGGGGAGAAGGCCUCAAGUGAGCACUUCUCAGAUCUCAGAUUCCCCAGGCAUUUUGUGUCACCUGACCUCAGGCCUUAGUUUCUGUCCCCAGCAUGGUCAAGCUCAGGUUCUGUGGUGUGUGUUUAGCUGCUUUGCAGGGACAGUGGCCACACCAUGACGCAUUUCUCUGUGGCCCCAGUAAAAUUGGCCAAAAAGGAACUAUACCUGCUGGAGGUGGUAGCCGAGUGCUCUCAGGCUCCCCAGCUCUAGGAGCCACCUACUUGAUGUCAGAACUUUGGAGAACUGGAUUAGCAUGGCAGGUGAGUGCGGAAAAUGGAGAGUCGUGGGGCGAAAUGAUUUCCCAAGCUCUCUGCAAGCCUCUCGGCUUAUCAGGGUAAAAGUGGGCAUCCUGCUGUGGCCAGAGGACCCGGCUCACCCAUCCUCCAACACGGAGUGUUCCCUGCUCAGUGGAGCUAUCCCUGGUGACAACUGCAGCCCUGUGGCAACCACUUCCUUGUUCUUCCUUCUUCCAUGCCACGCUUUGUUCUGUGCCAGGCCCGAUGUUUUAUUUCUGUAUUUUAUGCCCUCUACUCAGCCCCCCACUGAAGCUGCCUGCCAUUAAGACAGACGUUGAUCUGCCAUCUUCAGUGCCUAGGAAAUGCCUCACGCAUAGUGUGUGGUCCAUACUUAUUGGUUGAAUAAAAUGAUACACCAUGCCUGCA
ensembl:lncRNA novel transcript, sense intronic to CDIP1